UGCAUACAUGGGACUGUAUCCAGAGUACCACGAGACACGUGAAACCUUGUGGGAAGCAGGGGGGACCACCCUCCAAGCCAAAAUACUGAUAUCGACCGAUAGCGCAUAGUACCGUGAGGGAAAGGUGAAAAGAACCCCUGGCGGGGAGUGAAAGAGAACCUGAAACCGUAUGUCUACAAACAGUCGAAGUCUGUAUAUAUAUCAGGACGACGGCGUGCCUAUUGAAGAAUGAACCGACGAGUUACUGUUGCUAGCGAGGUUAAGUGGAAAACAUGGAGCCGCAGCGAAAGCGAGUCUGAACAGGGCGUUCAGUUAGUAAUAGUAGACCCGAAACCGUAGUGAUCUAUCCAUGGCCAGGUUGAAGCACAGGUAAAAUUGUGUGGAGGACCGAACUCGUGAGCGUUGAAAAGCUUUGGGAUGAGUUGUGGAUAGGGGUGAAAUGCCAAUCGAACACGGAGAUAGCUGGUUCUCCCCGAAAUAGCUUUAGGGCUAGCCUCGAGGUUGAGAGUAUAGGCGGUAGAGCACUGAUCGGGCUAGGGGCCAUACCGGUUACCGAACCUAGUCAAACUACGAAUGGCUAUACUUAUACUCGGGAGUCAGACAGUGAAUGAUAAGGUCCAUUGUCAAGAGGGAAACAGCCCAGAACACCGACUAAGGUCCCAAAUGUUACACUAAGUGGCGAAGGAUGUGGAGUUUCCAAAACAACCAGGAUGUUGGCUUAGAAGCAGCCACCAUUUAAAGAGUGCGUAAUAGCUCACUGGUCGAGAGACUCUGCGCCGAAGAUGUCCGGGGCUAAAGUGUAAAACCGAAGUCGUGUCAUAUGCAGCAAUGUAUAUGGGUAGGGGAGCGUUCUCAUCGGGCUGAAGCAGUACCGUAAGGAGUUGUGGACUGAUGAGAAGUGAGAAUGUCGGUAUGAGUAGCGAAAAGAAUGGUGAGAAUCCAUUCCACCGAAAGCCUAAGGGUUCCUGAGCAACGAUCGUCGUCUCAGGGUAAGUCGGGACCUAAGCCGAGGCGGAAUAGCGUAGGCGAUGGACAACAGGUUGAAAUUCCUGUACCGGUGUGAAUCGUUUGAUCGAUGGAGUGACACAGUAAGGUAGGUCAGCACGCGAUUGGAAGAGCGUGUUUAAGCAGGUAGGUUGAGCUAUAGGCAAAUCCGUAGCUCUAAAAGCUGAGAUGUGAUGACGAGUGACUAGCAAUAGUCGCGAAGUGAUUGAUCCUACACUGUCGAGAAAAGCUUCUAGGUAGAGACACAUCGCCCGUACCAAAACCGACACAGGUAGGCGGGGAGAGAAUCCUAAGGUGCGCGGGAAAACCCUCGUUAAGGAACUCGGCAAAAUGCCUCCGUAACUUCGGGAAAAGGAGGACUCAUGUAGUGUGAAGAGCAGCAACGCUUGGAGCAUGAAUGAGUGGCACAAGAGAGGCGCAAGCGACUGUUUACCACAAACACAGGUGCCUGCUAAAGCGAAAGCUGAUGUAUAGGUGCUGACACCUGCCCGGUGCUGGAAGGUUAAGAGGAGGGGUUAGACUUCGGUCGAAGCUCUGAAUUGAAGCCCCAGUAAACGGCGGCCGUAACUAUAACGGUCCUAAGGUAGCGAAAUUCCUUGUCGGGUAAGUUCCGACCCGCACGAAAGGUGUAA
rnacentral:rRNA from 1 species